CGCAUAAACAAAAGAAAUUUGCCUAAG
rnacentral:sRNA from 1 species